rnacentral:lncRNA from 1 species
CCUCAAUAAAAGUCUGUGUCUUUUCAUUCAGAACCUGUGAAUAUGUGGGAAGAGAAGUGAAGGUUGCAGAUGGAGCCAACCCUGUGGAUCAGCAGGGAGAACACUGGAUAAUUAGCUUGGUGAACUCUUUGUCCAAGGUGUCUAAUGCAGGUCAGCUUUUCUGGGUUUCGAAGCAGUGUAUGUACACCUGAGUUCAGAAGAACAGAUAUCACCAAAUGCCAGAUGAAGCCUGGGAC